rnacentral:rRNA from 1 species
CCUCAAGUGAUGAUUAUUGGAGGUAGAGCACUGUUUGGACGAGGGGCCCCUCUCGGGUUACCGAAUUCAGACAAACUCCGAAUGCCAAUUAAUUUAACUUGGGAGUCAGAACAUGGGUGAUAAGGUCCGUGUUCGAAAGGGAAACAGCCCAGACCACCAGCUAAGGUCCCAAAAUAUAUGUUAAGUGGAAAAGGAUGUGGCGUUGCCCAGACAACUAGGAUGU